rnacentral:rRNA from 1 species
CAGAAAGACCCUAUGAAGCUUUACUGUAACUUGAAAUUGAAAUUGGACUUUAGUCGCGCAGUAUAGGUGGGAGGCGUUGAAGAUAAUCUUGCGGGAAUAUCGGAGCUAUCAGUGAGAUACCACUCUUCUAAUGUUAGAUUUCUAACUUUGAACCAUUAUCUGGUCAAAGGACAGUUUCAGGCGGGCAGUUUGACUGGGGCGGUCGCCUCCCAAAUGGUAACGGAGGCGUACAAAGGUUUCCUCUGAACGGUUAGAAAUCGUAUCUAGAGUGUAAAGGCAUAAGGAAGCUUGACUGUGAGACCUACAAGUCGAGCAGGGACGAAAGUCGGUCUUAGUGAUCUGACGGUACUGAGUGGAAAGGCCGUCACUCAACGGAUAAAAGUUACUCUAGGGAUAACAGGCUGA